GAGAUACCUAUUGUGUCUCCUAAGUGCUACCUAGUUCCUUUCUGUCUACAAUACCGACUAAAUUACUAUGCAGGUUAUUGUCCCCAAUGCGAAACUAUAAACGUGUAUUAAUAAUAAAACUGUCGUCAUCAAUAGACGUCCCCUUUAUACCAAUAAUAAUGUAACUGUGCAAUGAAGCGUCGUACUUAUGUUGGAAGGCUGCGAGAGUAUAG